rnacentral:rRNA from 1 species
AGGAACCAGCGCAGGUGUUGCAUGGCUGUCGUCAGCUCGUGUCGUGAGAUGUUGGGUUAAGUCCCGCAACGAGCGCAACCCUCGUUCUGUGUUACUCUCUCACAGGAGACUGCCUCGCAAAACGGGGAGGAAGGUGGGGAUGACGUCAAGUCAGCAUGGCUCUUACGCCCAGGGCUACACACACGCUACAAUGGGUGGUACAGAAGGAAGCUAAGGAGCGAUCCGGAGCAAAUCCCCAAAACCAUCCUCAGUUCAGAUUGUAGGCUGAAACUCGCCUGCAUGAAGUUGGAGUUGCUAGUAACCGCUGGUCAGCAUACAGUGGUGAAUACGUUCUCGGGCCUUGUACACACCGCCCGUCACGCCAUGGAAGCUGGCAACACCUGAAGUCGAUGCGCUAACUUUCGAGAAGCAGUCGCCGAAGGUGGGGCUAGUGACUGGGGCG